AUUUAGUUAACUUUAGCUAGCUAUGACAAUCGGUUUGUUUUGCUAGUAACAUUACUUUAUGGAUUGGGAUUAUAGUACACUUUUUAGCUAGCUAGAUAACGUUAAUGUUACAUGUCUAAAGAAAAUACCCCAAGUUCAAGCUUGCUGUUAGCUAGCUAACGUUAGCUGAGGUUAGAUGACUGCCUUGCUAGCUAACAUUAACUUACGUGUAUGUGUAAUGUUAGUGAUGUUUUCUCAGAAUGCCAUUUCUAGCUAACUAACAUGGAAACUAUUUGAUUAACUUUAGCUAGCUAUGACAAUCGGUUUGUAUUGCUAGUAAGAGCUUGCUGUUAGCUAGCCAGCUGACGUUAGAUGGGUAUCAUUAUGUGUAUGAACCGUGUGUAGUGAUAUCUCAGAAUGCCAUUUCGCAUCUAUUGUAUAAUAAUGCUAAAAUAUUUGUAUCUGGAAUUUGUCUCUCAGCAUCAGUAGAACACGCCUGACUCUCCUCCACCAGUCAUACAAGGAGAAUGGUCUAAUGCCUCAAAAAGAGAGCUGACCCAUGCAAGCAAUGGCAGCAGUGCAGUCAUCAACCACAUGCACCAUUUCUUCACCAACUACGGAGUUGGGGAAACACGUGUGGUACUGAAUUGUGAUACCUGCAGUGGCCAAAACAAGAACAAGUUUGUGCUCUGGUUUUGUGCCUGGUGAACCAUGCACAAGAUCCACCAGAGUCUGGACCUUCACCUCCCGAUCACAGGCCACAACAAGUUUGCCCCUGACUGGUGCUUCGGCCUCAUCAAGCAGCGCUUCAGAAAGACCAGAGUGAACACUUUGUCUGAGAUUGCUGGUGUUGUGAAGGACAGCACUGUGAUAGGGGUCAACAUCCCACAGCUGGUUGGACUGGAGGAUGGUACGGUGCUGAUGGAAAGCUAUGGCUGGCAACAACACCUGACUCCUUACUUCAUGCCGCUGCCACAGAUCAAGCAGCACCACCACUUCAGCUUCGAUGCUCUGGAUCCUGCUGUUGUUGUCGCCAAGGAGCGUUCGGACUGUCGGGACCAGGUUUCAGCAGCUGCUCAACGCUGACAUCCUUCCUCCCAUAGAUGGUCUGCCUGUACAAGCACCACCUGGACUGGACACAGCUAGACAAACUUAUCUUUUUGAGAAGAUCAGGGAGUUUUGCGACGAAGAGGCUAUGGACAUCACAUGCUGUGCACCAAAGUCAAGGGCAGGACAGAAACAGGCACUCCGAAUAUAGAUUCCCUUGUUCAUGUGUGGUUUGGACGGACCAGUCAUCAGCACUAUCUGCAGUGCCUCUAUUCAAAUGACUCUCUCCUAACACACACGCCAUACGUUGCUGCUACUAUUAUUAUUUUAUCCUGCUGCUCAGCCACUUUACCCCUGAUUGUAUGCAUACAACUACCUCGUCUAUCACAAUCGUUAUUGAUAUUGUUUAUGUACAUGCUGUAUAUUAUUUCAUUUAUAUUGAC
rnacentral:lncRNA from 1 species